AAUGGGCGCAAGCCUGAUCCAGCCAUGCCGCGUGAGUGAUGAAGGCCCUAGGGUCGUAAAGCUCUUUCGCCAGGGAUGAUAAUGACAGUACCCAGUAAAGAAACCCCGGCUAACUCCGUGCCAGCAGCCGCGGUAAUACGGAGGGGGUUAGCGUUGUUCGGAAUUACUGGGCGUAAAGCGCGCGUAGGCGGAUCGGAAAGUUGGGGGUGAAAUCCCGGGGCUCAACCUCGGAACUGCCUCCAAAACUAUCGGUCUAGAGUUCGAGAGAGGUGAGUGGAAUUCCGAGUGUAGAGGUGAAAUUCGUAGAUAUUCGGAGGAACACCAGUGGCGAAGGCGGCUCACUGGCUCGAUACUGACGCUGAGGUGCGAAAGUGUGGGGAGCAAACAGGAUU
rnacentral:rRNA from 1 species